rnacentral:rRNA from 1 species
UACGUAGGGGGCUAGCGUUGUCCGGAAUUACUGGGCGUAAAGCGCGUGUAGGCGGCUCGGAUAGUCGGGUGUGAAAGCCCUGGGCUCAACCCAGGAAGUGCACUCGAUACUGCCGAGCUGGAGUCCCGGAGAGGAUGGCGGAAUUCUCGGUGUAGAGGUGAAAUUCGUAGAUAUCGAGAGGAACACCUGUGGCGAAGGCGGCCUUCUGGACGGUGACUGACGCUGAGACGCGAAAGCGUGGGGAGCAAACAGG